AAGAGAGAUGAAAACUCUUACAGAGAGGUUUAAUUUUUUUUCUCCUUCAUCCAGAUAAAUAUUGGCAUAUUUCCCCAAACAGAUGGGUAAAAUGACCUGGGAGUUAAGGAGAAAGCAGGUCCUUAGACACUGAGGGGAACAGAAAUGUUACAUGUUUAGAACAAAUGACAUGCCAUGGUGGGCCAGGCUGAGUAAUGGCGGCCUUCCUCAAGGUUUGCUUCUUGGGAGCUUCGCUGGGGAUUUUCACUGAUAUGGCCGUGAAGACUUAUCUCAGCAAAGCCCCUCAGAAGUCCAGCAUGUUGGUGAGGCAUUGGCACAGGCUGCCCGGAUGGUGGUCCCUGGAGAUCUUCAAGAACCGUGGGGAUGUGGCACUGAGGGACAUGGGCAAGGAGACCAGCUCUCCCCGCAACCCAGCGCCUUGCAAGAGUCUGCCCCAGCCAGAGCUCGUGCUCAGCCUGAGAUGUGUUUGCCAUCCAGUGUUCUGGGCCAGCAUUAAGACAGAUGUGGUAUUGAGGAGCAAAGACUGACUUUACCAAAAAGAAAGGAUGCUGACAGAAGGUAUUACUGACCACCGCUGGAUGUUGGCCAUCCUGCCAGUGUCGCCUAGGAAAUUUGGCAGACUUGGCAGUGCAUCUUCGGAAUCUCGCCUUUCAGUUUCAUUUGCACGUUAAAAGUACUGUUCCAAAAUGAAAAUAAAAGGAUGUUCCACUAACAGUCGGCCCUGGCAAGAAUAAAUACUACAACUCUGAACUCAUCGUGCUAGUGAAUGCAGCUCUGAACUCAUCGUGCUAGUGAAUGCUGUGCUCCAGCAGUUUAUUUAAUAGUGGUGUUAUUUAUAGAAAGCUCCCUCACGUGAUGUUAUUGCCAGUAACACAGAUGUCCCUUGAAUGCACUCUACUUUAAAUAAAGGUGAAAGGCU
ensembl:lncRNA